CUCGCUGGGGAAAUAUGUUUCCCGGGCUGAAGCCGAUCGGGACUGCACACCUCGUAGAUGGCGAAGCCGAUGGUGAAGAGAUUGGCCCCUAGCUUCCGGUCCUUGCGCCGGUUCUUCUGCAUCAGCGCCACCAGGAAACUGCAAAUCACCUCCGAGUCGUCAGGGUCAUCGUCCUCCUCCAGGAGCUUCAGACGUUUCCUGCUUCAAAGUCACUACCAGCUCCCUACUGCAAACUUCUCAGCAUGGUGGUUUCCUUCUCAGUAAAAUAGGGAGGGUUUAAUAAGACAGUGGACAUCUGGAACAGAGAGACUUCGUAAGCGCUCGUUAGGCUUCUUCUGCCUGGAACUUGUUCUGCUUGGACCCUCCCCCCAUCAAGAGCAUCUCUCACCUGGGAAGUUGCGGCAGCCUCCGGCUGAGCAACCCCGCACCCAGCGGCCCUCGUUCACAGACACUGUCCAGGUCUGAAGCUUGUCAGACUGCAGAGCGUCGGCCGUGAGGUUGCAGAUCUCCAACUUUGUGAAAUGGUAGAUGAAAUCCUCAUAGGACAUCCUGAGAGGUUGGAAGAAAAGAGAGACCCAAACGGGAAAAGAUAUGGUGUCUCAUGAUGUUAUUCCAGCUAUACUUGAACUCCUCGGCUCAAGCGAUCCUCCCACCUCAGCGUCCCAAGUAGCUGGGACUAUGGCAUAUGCCGCCAUACCCGGCUUGCAUCUCGUUUUCUAAGCGACUGCUCUUAGCUACUGCUUAAGCUUUAUUAUAAUCAUUGAUUUGGAAAACUCAAA